GACGAACGCUGGCGGCGUGCCUAAUACAUGCAAGUUGAGCGAUGAAGAUUGGUGCUUGCACCAAUUUGAAGAGCAGCGAACGGGUGAGUAACGCGUGGGGAAUCUGCCUUUGAGCGGGGGACAACAUUUGGAAACGAAUGCUAAUACCGCAUAACAACUUUAAACAUAAGUUUUAAGUUUGAAAGAUGCAAUUGCAUCACUCAAAGAUGAUCCCGCGUUGUAUUAGCUAGUUGGUGAGGUAAAGGCUCACCAAGGCGAUGAUACAUAGCCGACCUGAGAGGGUGAUCGGCCACAUUGGGAAUGAGACACGGCCCAAACUCCUACGGGAGGCAGCAGUAAGGAAUCUUCGGCAAUGGACGAAAGGCUGACCGAGCAACGCCGCGGGAGUGAAGAAGGGUUUCGGAUCGUAAAACUCUGUUGGUAGAGAAGAAAGUUGGUGAGAGUGGAAAGCUCAUCAAGUGACGGUAACUACCCAGAAAGGGACGGCUAACUACGUG
rnacentral:rRNA from 1 species